GCCUUCGCGGUGUAAUGGUCAGUAAACUGGGCUCGUAUUCGAGAGGUCCGUGGUUCAAGUCCCGGCGAGGGCA
rnacentral:tRNA from 1 species